rnacentral:rRNA from 1 species
GUACUACAAUGGUCGGUACAAAGGGUUGCCAAGCCGUGAGGCGGAGCCAAUCUCAAAAAGCCAACCUCAGUUCGGAUUGCAGUCUGCAACUCGACUGCAUGAAGUUGGAGUCGCUAGUAAUCGCUGAUCAGCAGGCAGCGGUGAAUACGUUCCCGGGCCUU